CGUUCACCGUCAGAUACUCAUCGUCACGUAGCCAGGCCACCUGUGCCACCAUGAAUAUACCAUAAAAUCGCCUUUUGCUUUUCUUUCGAGCCUGCCGCUCUGGGAGUGUCAGCCUUCGCAGUUUCUGAUUCUCGGUACGUGUUCUCGUGAAACAAAAGACACCCAGAGACCUCUUGUCUUGAGAUAGGUCUUGAAGAGUGCUUCUAUCGCACCCCGAAGUCAAUUCAUAUUUGAAAGAAAUUGUAUUUAUCGAGUGUUAUAACGCGAUAAAGAACGAAGUGUCAGAUGGAAGGAGGAGGGUUGCAUCUACCGCCGCCUCCAAGAAUAAAUAAAAUAUAAAAAUAUCAAUAUUAUCGCGUUCUGAAAUAUUCGUCAGUAAAUAUUGUGGAAAUACAUUUGCCUGUGAGACACAAGCCAAGCCAGUACAUUGUCUGUAUUGUCAACGUAUCAUCGUCAGUUGAUCUUUAUGCUGUACACCAACAUGUGAAAACAUAAGCGUAGUCCGUUUUAUCAAUUCAGAGGAGACGCGGAACAUUGCUCGAUUACGCAAUGGUGAAACCAUAACUGAAAAGCGGUGUCUUGCGCGAUUGCUGAAUCAACGAUUUGUGACAUUAAAAGACGAACGUGUAAAACUUGGAGGAAGAAGAUAUCUGCACAAGUGACAUUCCCAAGCAUUCUGAAGCAUUCACAGCAUCACAGACAAUUAUCGGAUGGUACAAGGCACAUCAUCAACGAGAUACUCCCGAGGAAUUAUUAAUUUUAACAAAGAUAUGCAAUCUAGCAGCUCGAGAAGAUCGCACGAACAAAGAUGAUUCAAACAUGUGUACGUAAUACAUGGAAUAUGUACAAACAUCAGAAUUUUUCAUGCAGAAUGUACUUAAAUGAAAGGCUCAUGGAUACGCCACUGGCUGUACAUCCGUACAACUCUAUACGUACGUACUACUUUUACGUACGUACGUACGAAACAACGUCCGUUACAACGGGCGUCGUUGCGACGUUCGUGUGGCCGCAGCCUAAAGGUCCCUCUGGAGAACGUUCGCCGAGCGAACAGGUUCAGAUUUCGGAAAAAAUCCUUUCGAUUUAUGCUCAUUGACGGCGACUGCCGGCUUCGUGAAACAGAAUAGACGGAGAGGCGUGGUCGUGGGAUUCACGAUGCUUGCCGAGAAAACGGCCGAUAUUUAUUAGGUAGCUGAGACCGAUCGAACAGUCUUUCGUCGAUACUUCAACGAUGUGUCGAGGAUUUUUAAGUUCUGAUGUUCGAUAUGGUACGAGGAUUACGAGAUAGCGUUAAUGGUUUGGGAUUAUUUGACGAAAGAAUCGUAGUUGAAAUGAUAUUGCAAGAGAAAAAUAUUUUGAAUGAGAAGCAUCUUUCUCUGAUAUAUUUCAAUCAAAAGUGUCGCAAUAUUUUCUGUGAUUUGUUGAAUCGUGGACAGCGACAGUGUAGCUCUUUAAAAGUCUACGAUAAUACGAAUGAAAUUGUUGCAUGUAUACUAUGAACUAUCAGUUAAGAACGACUUUGCACAAUGCUGAUUUGUUAAAUAACAACCAUAGAAGAUAAUGCGUUCAAGUUACUUGAAUAUCUAAACAAAUUUCCAACCAAGAUUUUAAUUAUAAAUAUAUCACAAUUAAAUUAUUCAACCUUUUAACGUUUUCUCUACUGAUCUGUCUCAACGACUGAAGAACUUGCAACUUUCUCCACCUCCCUAUUUUACAAUCGAAACUUUAUAAAUAUCAAAAAAUAUUUAGUCAAAUAAAAUUGUAUUUACGUA